rnacentral:rRNA from 1 species
UCAGAUCACGUAAUUUUUUAAUAGUCGAACAGACUAAAAAUUUUUAGCUUCUUCACCAAAAAUGAAAAUUAAUUCAACAUCGAGGUCACAAACUUAAUUAUUAAUAAGAACUUGAAAAUUAAAUUAUGCUGUUAUCCCUAGAGUAACUUGUUUUUAAAUUAAUUUAUCAAAUUAAAAAUUUAUUUCUUCAAUAAUUACCCCAAUCGAAAAAUUUUUAUUAUUAUUUUAAAGCUUCUAGGGUCUUCUCGUCCCAGGAGUGUAUAAAAGCAUUUUUACUUUUAAUUUAAUUUCAAAAUUAUUAAAUAAAACUUUCUUUUCAGUCUUUACCUUUCAUUCCAGAUCCCAAUUAAAGAU